CCUGCAUGUUCUGUGUGUCUUCCAUCCCCCCGGGAGUGGCCCCAGGAGAGCUCUCCUUUGGGCUGCAGCCGGCCCAUGUGAAACGAUAACGUAAUGCUGGAGCGUUCGCGGUCGGCGUCUCGAUCCCACCGACGGAAGUUUACCAGGCGGGAUAACCACGAGGAUGCGCUGGGAUCCUCCUGAGGACACUCGGUCUAGAGAACAACAAUGGCAUAGCUCUCCUCCUCGCUCUCUCUCUCUCUCUCUCUCUCUCCUCUCAAAGAGCCAAACAAGGAAUGAAUUCCACGAAUGGAACCUCUUCGUCCUCUUCCUCCUCCUCCUCCCCGCAUCGCUCUUCUGAAUGCCGACCCCAUCGUCUGAUCUUUCCUUUAUCCCCUCUUCAUAACCUUCUUGUCAUGUCUUUAAACAAGUAUAGUGUGUAUCGUGGAAAACAAAUCGAGGAAUUUGGAAUGCAUGGAACUUUAUAUCCAAGACCUAACACUGUUCAUCAUGACCUAACAGAGGCCAUAGGGAAACUGAGGAGACACGUAAAAUAAGGACGGAAAAAACACAAGCGGAGAAGAGGAUUUAUGUUUUUAAAGGUUCAAAGGUCGGGAAAGUGGGGAAGCUACAGGGAUGUGGCCGCAGGAGUAGCCAUUAUCUUCAAGAGUUGUGUUUUGGAAUGGAGCCAUUGUGGACAGAUUCUUGUCAGCCAUUACAAGCCAUUCAGAUAACGUUUACCCACAAUGCUCGUGGUGAUGAUGUUUUAUCAACCGCCCCACAACAUUUGGGUCCGAGAUAUUCUUCUUGUUGUUGAAUAUGAUACAAUUAUUUGUAUUGUUUUGUUACAAUAUUUUUUUCAAUUUUGCUUUUUUCAUUUUAUACAGUUCAGUUAUAUCGCCUUAAUCAUCAAAUCACAUUAUUAUUUAUAUUGUUUUUGAGAAAAUACUGACAUAUUUUGAUAUAUUUCAUGUUUACCCAUGAUACAGCAUAUUUUAAUUGUGCCACUUAUUUAUCUGUGUAUCAGCUGGAACACUGGUAACAAAAAGAUUAAUUUAUAUUUUUGGGAUUUU
ensembl:lncRNA